AUACGGAGGGUCCGAGCGUUAUCCGGAAUCAUUGGGUUUAAAGGGUCCGUAGGCGGGAAUCUAAGUCAGUGGUGAAAUCUUGCAGCUCAACUGUAAAAUUGCCAUUGAUACUGGAUUUCUUGAAUUAGUGUGAAGUGAUUAGAAUGUGUAGUGUAGCGGUGAAAUGCAUAGAUAGUACACAGAAUACCAAUUGCGAAGGCAGAUCACUAACACUAUAUUGACGCUGAGGGACGAAAGCGUGGGGAGCGAACAGGAUUAGAAACCCCAGUAGUCC
rnacentral:rRNA from 1 species